AAUUUUUUGAAACCCAGAAUAAUUCUGUAGUUCCUCAACCAGUCUUUAAAAUUGGAUCCAGUCAAUCUGUGGGUGUCUAGUAUUUUGGUCAGGGGGUUAGAGGUAGACAUGUUUCCUGUAGAGAGUCGAAAGUUUCUAGUUAGAUUUUGUAAUCAGACUUAACCAAUUUAUUUAGGAGUUUUAUUUUUAAACAAAUUAGGCUCUCACUAUUUUUUC
rnacentral:lncRNA from 1 species